GGAGAGGUGCUAGAGUGGUUGAAUAGGACGGUCUCGAAAACCGUUGUGUCCGCAAGGGCACCGAGGGUUCGAAUCCCUCCCUCUCCGCCA
rnacentral:tRNA from 3 species